rnacentral:rRNA from 2 species
UACGGAGGGGGCUAGCGUUGUUCGGAAUUACUGGGCGUAAAGCGUACGUAGGCGGCUUUGUAAGUUAGAGGUGAAAGCCCGGGGCUCAACCCCGGAAUUGCCUUUAAGACUGCUAGGCUUGAAUCAUGGAGAGGUGAGUGGAAUUCCGAGUGUAGAGGUGAAAUUCGUAGAUAUUCGGAAGAACACCAGUGGCGAAGGCGACUCACUGGACAUGUAUUGACGCUGAGGUACGAAAGCGUGGGGAGCAAACAGG